rnacentral:piRNA from 1 species
UUCGAUGGGAACAUUGUUUUA